rnacentral:rRNA from 1 species
CCUACGGGGGGCAGCAGUGAGGAAUAUUGGUCAAUGGGCGCGAGCCUGAACCAGCCAAGUCGCGUGAGGGAUGACGGUCCUACGGAUUGUAAACCUCUUUUGCCGGGGAGCAAGCGUGCGUUCGUGAACGCACGUCGAGAGUACCCGGAGAAAAAGCAUCGGCUAACUCCGUGCCAGCAGCCGCGGUAAUACGGAGGAUGCGAGCGUUAUCCGGAUUUAUUGGGUUUAAAGGGAGCGCAGGCGGCGCGUUAAGCCUGGUGUGAAAGCCCGCGGCCCAACCGCGUGCC